UGGAGAAUGGACAGGUAUGCAACGUAUCUU
rnacentral:piRNA from 1 species